rnacentral:rRNA from 1 species
UACGUAGGGUGCGAGCGUUGUCCGGAAUUAUUGGGCGUAAAGAGCUCGUAGGCGGUGUGUCACGUCGGCCGUGAAAACCUGGGGCUUAGCUCUGGGCGUGCGGUCGAUACGGGCAUCACUAGAGUUCGGCAGGGGAGACUGGAAUUCCUGGUGUAGCGGUGAAAUGCGCAGAGAUCGGGAGGAACACCCGUAGCGAAGGCGGCACUCUGGGCCGGUACUGACGCUGAGGAGCGAAAGCCAGGGGAGCGAACGGG